GACGAACGCUGGCGGCGUGCUUAACACAUGCAAGUCGAACGGAAAGGCCCUGCUUUUGUGGGGUUCUCGAGUGGCGAACGGGUGAGUAACACGUUAGUAACCUGCCCUUGACUUUGGGAUAACUUCAGGAAACUGGGGCUAAUACCGGAUAGGAGCUCCUGCUGCAUGGUGGGGGUUUGAAAGUUUCGGCGGUUGGGGAUGGACUCGCGGCUUAUCAGCUUGUUGGUGGGGUAGUGGCUUACCAAGGCUUUGACGGGUAGCCGGCCUGAGAGGGUGACCGGCAAAAUGGGGAAUGAGAUACGGCCCAGACUCCUACGGGAGGCAGCAGUGGGGAAGAUUGCACAAAGGGGGGAAGCAUGAUGCAGCAACGCCGCGUGAGGGAUGAUGGACUUCGGGUUGUAAACCGCUUUCGCCUGUGACGAAGAGUGAGUGACGGUAAUGUGUAAAGAAGCACCGGCUAACUACGUG
rnacentral:rRNA from 1 species